UACAGAGGGGGCAAGCGUUAUUCGGAAUUAUUGGGCGUAAAGGGCGCGUAGGCGGCCUGGCAAGUGGAAGGUGAAAUCCCUCGGCUUAACUGAGGAACUGCCCUCCAAACUGCUUGGCUUGAGUCCGGGAGAGGUGAGUGGAAUUCCCAGUGUAGCGGUGAAAUGCGUAGAUAUCUGGAGGAACACCGGUGGCGAAGGCGGCAUCCUGGACCGACACUGACGCUGAGGAGCGAAAGCCAGGGGAGCAAACGGGG
rnacentral:rRNA from 1 species